CAGUCGUACCGGCGGAUAAUCAGCCUUUCGGGUGCGAUUCUGUAGGGCGUGAGGAGCUUAACCGCCUUCAUGUUUUGCAUAUACGUGCACAUUUGGUGUACUUGUCCGUGUGGUGGGUUAACAUCAAUUUCGGUCGUCAUAAAAUGAUUGGAGGAAUGUAGCUUUGAUCUCGUAUCGAAGUGUUAUAGACUCUGGUAGAUGUGACGAUUGGGGAUUGAGGAUUGCAACGGAUACCCCUUUGGGGGCUACCCGUCUGAUCUCUGAGGUUGCUCCGGUGCCGAAAGCGUGCUUACGGUUAUCGAAAGUGAUUUCAAAAGGUUAGAACGGUUAAAUUCGUUAAGGAUGUU
rnacentral:rRNA from 1 species